CCGCCCGAUAAAAUAUAACACGAACAUUACGGAAUUUCGAAUGUAUACUUACGCACACAUUUAUAAUAAUAUUACAAUAGCCUCAUAGAUUCCGUUUAUAUGUUUUCGUCGUCGUCGUCGUUUUUCGCUCUUCGGCCGGACGCGAUUUCAUAUACAACGGAAGUGGCCGAGACACAGUAGCAACACCAACGACGACAGUCAACUAAGUCUACCAAUAAUAAUAAUUAUAUAAUAACAUAAUGUCACCGACUAUUCGUUGGAAGACUCGGCUUGCAAUAAUCGCUUGCAUGCAAAUAAAUUUCCGUGCAACGUGUGCCGAAGGUUCCAGGUUAAAAUUAUGUCCAUUAUUAAAUAUCCAGUACAUAACACAUGUCCAGAAUUUAAUAUUCAAAGUAUAAGAUGUCCAAUAACGUUUAAAUGUCUACGAAUAUGGCCUAACAUUUAGUAAAUUUUGACGCUGGUACAAAUGGGCUCAAACUCAGAAAUAUAUAGUUGAUUUGUAGACGGAUUGAAGUGAUAAAAGUUGAGUUCAGAUUAAAUAUGUACCUUUUUGGAGUUUAAA